rnacentral:rRNA from 1 species
CCUACGGGGGGCUGCAGUGGGGAAUAUUGGACAAUGGGGGCAACCCUGAUCCAGCCAUGCCGCGUGUGUGAAGAAGGCCCGCGGGUUGUAAAGCACUUUCAGUGAGGAAGAACGCCUGGUGGUUAAUACCCAUCAGGAAAGACAUCACUCACAGAAGAAGCACCGGCUAACUCCGUGCCAGCAGCCGCGGUAAUACGGAGGGUGCGAGCGUUAAUCGGAAUUACUGGGCGUAAAGCGCGCGUAGGUGGCUUGAUAAGCCGGUUGUGAAAGCCCCGGGCUCAACCUGGGAACGGCAUCCGGAACUGUCAAGCUAGAGUGCAGGAGAGGAAGGUAGAAUUCCCGGUGUAGCGGUGAAAUGCGUAGAGAUCGGGAGGAAUACCAGUGGCGAAGGCGGCCUUCUGGACUGACACUGACACUGAGGUGCGAAAGCGUGGGUAGCAAACAGGAUUAGAUACCCUAGUAGUC